rnacentral:rRNA from 1 species
CCUACGGGAGACAGCAGUGGGGAAUCUUCCGCAAUGAGCGAAAGCCUGACGGAGCAACGCCGCGUGAUCGAAUGAAGGCCUUCGGGUUGUAAAGAUCUGUUGACAGGGACGAAUAAGCCAUGCGAAUAGUUUGGUGUAUGACGGUACCUGUUUAGAAAGCUCCGGCUAACUACGUGCCAGCAGCCGCGGUAAUACGGAGGAUGCGAGCGUUAUCCGGAUUUAUUGGGUUUAAAGGGUGCGCAGGCGGUCUGUUAAGUCAGCGGUCAAAGCCCGGGGCUCAACCCCGGCCCGCCGUUGAAACUGGCAGUCUCGAGUUGGAGAGAAGUAUGCGGAAUGCGCGGUGUAGCGGUGAAAUGCAUAGAUAUCGCGCAGAACUCCGAUUGCGAAGGCAGCAUGCCGGCUCCACACUGACGCUGAGGCACGAAAGCGUGGGUAUCGAACAGGAUUAGAUACCCGGGUAGUC